rnacentral:rRNA from 1 species
GAUGAACGCUGGCGGCGUGCCUAAUACAUGCAAGUCGAGCGAACAGACGAGGAGCUUGCUCCUCUGACGUUAGCGGCGGACGGGUGAGUAACACGUGGAUAACCUACCUAUAAGACUGGGAUAACUUCGGGAAACCGGAGCUAAUACCGGAUAAUAUAUUGAACCGCAUGGUUCAAUAGUGAAAGACGGUUUUGCUGUCACUUAUAGAUGGAUCCGCGCCGCAUUAGCUAGUUGGGACGGUAACGGCUUACCAAGGCGACGAUGCGUAGCCGACCUGAGAGGGGGAUCGGCCACACGGGAACGGAGACACGGUCCAGACUCCUACGGGAGGCAGCAGUAGGGAAUCUUCCGCAGUGGGCGAAAGCAUGACGGAGCAACGCCGCGUGAGUGAUGAAGGUCUUCGGAUCGUAAAACUCUGUUAUUAGGGAAGAACAAAUGUGUAAGUAACUAUGCACGUCUUGACGGUACCUAAUCAGAAAGCCACGGCUAACUACGUG